GGGCACGUCACUUAAAUCUGAAGA
rnacentral:piRNA from 1 species